UAGCUAGUUGGUGGGGUAAAGGCUUACCAAGGCGACGAUCGGUAGCUGGUCUGAGAGGAUGGCCAGCCACACUGGAACUGAGACACGGUCCAGACUCCUACGGGAGGCAGCAGUGGGGAAUAUUGGACAAUGGGGACAACCCUGAUCCAGCAAUGCCGCGUGUGUGAAGAAGGCCUGAGGGUUGUAAAGCACUUUCAGUGGGGAGGAGGAUUAUUAGGUUAAGAGCUAGAUAAUUGGACGUUACCCACAGAAGAAGCACCGGCUAACUCCGUGCCAGCAGCCGCGGUAAUACGGAGGGUGCAAGCGUUAAUCGGAAUUACUGGGCGUAAAGGGUGCGUAGGUGGUUAGUUAAGUUAUCUGUGAAAUUCCUGGGCUCAACCUGGGGUGGUCAGAUAAGACUGAUUGACUUGAGUGUGGGAGAGGGUAGUGGAAUUUCCGGUGUAGCGGUGAAAUGCGUAGAGAUCGGAAGGAACACCAGUGGCGAAGGCGGCUACCUGGCCUAACACUGACACUGAGGCACGAAAGCGUGGGGGGCAAACAGGAUUAGAUACCCUGGUAGUCCACGCCGUAAACGAUGUCAACUAGCUGUUGGUUAUAUGAAUAUAAUUAGUAGCGA
rnacentral:rRNA from 1 species